ensembl:lncRNA
CAUGGGGGGAAGUAGCACCCAACCCAAGGCCUCGUGGAAGCAGGGGCAUCUCAGAGAUCAUCUCCGGUAACAGGGGCUUGACUUUUGUGAUGAGUGAGAGAAUCCAGCUUGCGCGAUCUUAGUUCCUGGACCAGGGAUGUAACCCAUGACCCCUGCAGUGGAAGCGUGGAGUCCUAACCACCAAGUGACCAGGUGCAGUGGCUUGCCUCAGUGAAGAAAGGCUACCUGGAUGCCCACAACAGAACCCAGUUUUGUACAGUAACCCCCCACUGCAAUGUGAGGCUCCAGAUCCUAUCAGCUUUCCUUGAAGGAGGUGUUACAGGGUGUUCAUUUUCCUGCUGUUUGCUUUCAGCACCCUCAGGCUCAAGUAGUCAUGUAUAGAUGUGAGAUUUGGACCAUAAAGAAGGCUGAGCACUGAAGAACGGAUACUUUUGAACUGUGGUGUUGGAGAAAACUCUUGAGAGUCCCUUGGACUGCAAGGAGAUCCAACCAGUUCAUCCUAAAGGAAAUCAGUCCUGAAUAUUCCUUGGAAGGACUGAUGCUGAAGCUGAAACUCCAAUACUUUGGCCACCUGAUGCGAAGAACUGACUCAUUUGAAAAUACCUUGAUGCUGGGAAAGAUUGAAGAUGGACACGAGUUGCUUCCGGUUUGGAGCCAUUAUGACCCCAUAUGUGCUGUGAACAUUCCUAGACAUGCAGUCUGGGCACAUAAGUACUUUCUCCAGGAGACUUAUCUAGGAGCAGAAUUGCUGGUCCAAGGGUGUGCAUGCCUCAAACUGUUUUCCAGUGUUGUCAUUAUAGGUCUUUUCCUCCCUAAACAAAGCCUGAUGCAUAAGGCCAGGAAAUAAAGUAGAUGACAGCAGAAUUCUGAUCAAAGCAGGGUUGGUACUUAACAGAUUCCGAGGGGUGAUGAAGAUGACUUUCAGUUUUGUGUCCGCUCUAGCCUUCUGCAUGGCUACAUGGAAGGAUCUGGCUUCAGAAUCUCCUGGAUGAGUUGUUGAUGGUGACCUCGGGCAGCAUCUCAGAGGAGCCCUAGGCCUGCUGAGAGGCAUCUAUCACUGACUCACAACAGCCUUAGGUGCUUGCCACGCCCACUCAGUUUCAUUGCUCAAAAUCCAGACUAGUCCUCAGAACAGGAGACUGAUUCCUCUUCUGUGUUUUGUGUUUUCUGCAGUGGGUUUGUCUUUAACAAUGAGCCAUUCAUGCACACCCGGGGAGCUACCCAGGACCAGGGAGACGGCUGCAGGCCCUGCAGGCAACUGGCCAUGCUCCAGUCCAGAUAUUCUUGGGAAUGUGGAAUUAUUUGAAUCAAAGGGAAAUAAAUCUUUUGCAAAUGUUAAUAUAAAUGACUGUGGGAAGGGC